rnacentral:tRNA from 1 species
GGGGAUUUAGCUCCGUGGUAGAGCGCUUGCCUAGCAAGCACAAGGCCCUGGGUUCGGUCCCCAGCUCCA